rnacentral:lncRNA from 1 species
GGAAAAGGCAAGGACUUUGAAAUCAGACCUGGGGCUUUCCCCCUACUUGGGUAAGCGAUUUGGUUCUCUGAGCCUUGGUUUCUACACCUGUGAAAUGGGAGUUCAUAAUACUUGCCUCAAAAAAAAAAAUUUGCACAAAUUAAGUAUACAAAAAGCCUACAGCACAAUACCCAACCUGGAGUAUUUCAUGCUGCUCAGUAAGUACUUGUCCAUCUGUUUCCUUAUGGGCUACACUGCACAAAUUGGCUAUGUAAUUUGGCACUUGUUUAUGUACCCGCUCAUGCUGUUACCAGCUUCUUUAUUGUUCUUUAUUGUGUGUGAUUGUUAUUCCUCCUCUCCAGACUACAUUGUAAUCUCUUCCAAUUCAAGGACUCUAUCUCCUUUGUCCUUUGUACCCAUAGUUCAAUGAAUGGUUUUUGAAGUUAGAGUAGCAGUUGUUUGAGAAAAGAUAAAAUACAUUCCUGAACUAC